rnacentral:rRNA from 1 species
GCGAUGAAGGACGUGCUAAUCUGCGAUAAGCGUCGGUAAGGUGAUAUGAACCGUUAUAACCGGCGAUUUCCGAAUGGGGAAACCCAGUGUGUUUCGACACACUAUCAUUAACUGAAUCCAUAGGUUAAUGAGGCGAACCGGGAGAACUGAAACAUCUAAGUACCCCGAGGAAAAGAAAUCAACCGAGAUUCCCCCAGUAGCGGCGAGCGAACGGGGAGCAGCCCAGAGCCUGAAUCAGUGUGUGUGUUAGUGGAAGCGUCUGGAAAGGCGCGCGAUACAGGGUGACAGCCCCGUACACAAAAAUGCACAU